GAAAUGCGAUAAGUAAUGUGAAUUGCAGAAUUCAGCGAAUCAUCGAAUCUUUGAACGCACAUUGCGCCCGCCAGUAUUCUGGCGGGCAUGCCUGUUCGAGCGUCAUUUCAACCAUCAAGCCCCCGGCUUGUGUUGGGGACCUGCGGCUGCCCACAGGCCCUGAAAAACAGUGGCGGGCUCGCUGUCACACCGAGCGUAGUAGCAUACAUUCUCGCUCAGGGCGUGCUGCGGGUUCCGGCCGUUAAACGACCUUCAUAACCCAAGGUUGACCUCGGAUCAGGUAGGAAGACCCGCUGAACUUAAGC
rnacentral:misc_RNA from 1 species